UACGGAGGGGGCGAGCGUUAUUCGGAAUUAUUGGGCGUAAAGAGCUCGUAGGCGGCCUGUCGCGUCUGCUGUGAAAUCCCGGGGCUUAACCCCGGGCGUGCAGUGGAUACGGGCUGGCUGGAGGCAGGCAGGGGAGAACGGAAUUCCCGAUGUAGCGGUGAAAUGCGCAGAUAUCGGGAGGAACACCGGUGGCGAAGGCGGUUCUCUGGGCCUGUACUGACGCUGAGGAGCGAAAGCGUGGGGAGCGAACAGG
rnacentral:rRNA from 1 species